GAUGAUUAUCUAGCUUGCUAGAUAUGAUUAGUGGCGGACGGGUGAGUAACAUUUAGGAAUCUGCCUAGUAGUGGGGGAUAGCUCGGGGAAACUCGAAUUAAUACCGCAUACGACCUACGGGUGAAAGGGGGCGCAAGCUCUUGCUAUUAGAUGAGCCUAAAUCAGAUUAGCUAGUUGGUGGGGUAAAGGCCCACCAAGGCGACGAUCUGUAACUGGUCUGAGAGGAUGAUCAGUCACACCGGAACUGAGACACGGUCCGGACUCCUACGGGAGGCAGCAGUGGGGAAUAUUGGACAAUGGGGGCAACCCUGAUCCAGCCAUGCCGCGUGUGUGAAGAAGGCCUUUUGGUUGUAAAGCACUUUAAGCAGGGAGGAGAGGCUAAUGGUUAAUACCCAUUAGAUUAGACGUUACCUGCAGAAUAAGCACCGGCUAACUCUGUGCCAGCAGCCGCGGUAAUACAGAGGGUGCGAGCGUUAAUCGGAAUUACUGGGCGUAAAGCGAGUGUAGGUGGCUCAUUAAGUCACAUGUGAAAUCCCCGGGCUUAACCUGGGAACUGCAUGUGAUACUGGUGGUGCUAGAAUAUGUGAGAGGGAAGUAGAAUUCCAGGUGUAGCGGUGAAAUGCGUAGAGAUCUGGAGGAAUACCGAUGGCGAAGGCAGCUUCCUGGCAUAAUAUUGACACUGAGAUUCGAAAGCGUGGGUAGCAAACAGGAUUAGAUACCCUGGUAGUCCACGCCGUAAACGAUGUCUACUAGCCGUUGGGGUCCUUGAGACUUUAGUGGCGCAGUUAACGCGAUAAGUAGACCGCCUGGGGAGUACGGCCGCAAGGUUAAAACUCAAAUGAAUUGACGGGGGCCCGCACAAGCGGUGGAGCAUGUGGUUUAAUUCGAUGCAACGCGAAGAACCUUACCUGGUCUUGACAUAGUGAGAAUCCUGCAGAGAUGCGGGAGUGCCUUCGGGAAUUCACAUACAGGUGCUGCAUGGCUGUCGUCAGCUCGUGUC
rnacentral:rRNA from 1 species